GCUUCCCGCAUGCGCGAUUCAUUUGCAGUCUGGACACGGAGGGGUGAACAUCUCCUGCUCUGACUGGAGCUUGGAGGGACUGCUGCGCGAGGACUGGGCCGCCUGUGAGGGCUUUGGGACGGGGUGGGGCCCACGGCAGCACCCGCUGCUCGUUGAGAAGAGACCUGAGCCCUAGGACCAUGCCCCAGGACUACCUGACAUGAUGACUCCUUGCUGUCCCCAGUCCACCUGGCCGUGCUGCUGCUCCAGUUUCAAGUGUUCUACCUUAUUAUUAUUUCGACCAUGCUGGUCAUUUAUGAACAUUUGAACAUCUUGGCCAUGUUCUGUUAUAAUCUCCACCCGGCCCAGCCGGAAGAGGACUGGCCACCCCACAUAUGCUCUCUCUAAUUCUCUUUCUUUCUCUCUCUCGGAGGACCUGAGCCCUAGGACCAUGCCCCAGGACUACCUGACAUGAUGACUCCUUGCUGUCCCCAGUCCACCUGGCUGUGCUGCUGCUCCAGUUUCAACUGUUCUGCCUUAUUAUUAUUCGACCAUGCUGGUCAUUUAUGAACAUUUGAACAUCUUGGCCAUGUUCUGUUAUAAUCUCUACCCGGCACAGCCAGAAGAGGACUGGCCACCCCACAUAGCCUGGUUCCUCUCUAGGUUUGACCUUGGUUUUGGCCUUUCUAGGGAGUUUUUCCUAACCACCGUGCUUCUACACCUGCAUUGCUUGCUGUUUGGGGUUUUAGGCUGGGUUUCUGUACAGCACUUUGAGAUAUCAGCUGAUGUACGAAGGGCUAUAUAAAUAAAUUUGAUUUGAACUGGCCUACACCUUGCCAUCUACUGGACAUGCUGUGGUACUACAGCUACACUGUCAAAGGGAAACAGAUGAGUAAACUACUGUACAUGAAUAAAGAAAUACCUUGAUUGAAAAUAA